CCUGAGCUCCCAAUCAACGUUGGAGCGGCGUGCCUCAGACAUGCAAGUCGAACGUGAAAGCCCCCUUCGGGGGGCAAGUAGAGUGGCGCACGGGUGAGUAACACGUAGGUAAUCUACCUUCGGAUGGGGAAUAACAACCGGAAACGGUUGCUAAUACCGCAUAAUGCAGCGGCACCUAAUGGUGACAGUUGUUAAAGCGGGGGAUCGAAAGACCUCGCGUCUGAAGAGGAGCCUGCGGCGGAUUAGCUAGUUGGUAAGGUAAUGGCUUACCAAGGCGACGAUCCGUAGCCGGCCUGAGAGGGCGGUCGGCCACACUGACACUGACAUACGGGUCAGACUCCUACGGGAGGCAGCAGUCGGGAAUUUUGGGCAAUGGGCGAAAGCCUGACCCAGCAACGCCGCGUGAAGGAUGAAAUCCUUCGGGAUGUAAACUUCGCAAGAACGGGAAGAAUAAGUCGGUGCUAAUACCACCGGCGAUGACGGUACCGUUUGUAAGCUCCGGCUAACUCCGUGCCAGCAGCCGCGGUAAUACGGGGGGAGCAAGCGUUGUUCGGAUUUACUGGGCGUAAAGGGCGCGUAGGCGGCCACCGCAAGUCAAUUGUGAAAUCUCCGGGCUUAACUCGGAAAGGUCAACUGAUACUGCGGGGCUAGAGUGCAGAAGGGGCAACUGGAAUUCUCGGUGUAGCGGUGAAAUGCGUAGAUAUCGAGAGGAACACCUGCGGCGAAGGCGGGUUGCUAGGACGGUACUGACGCUGAGGCGCGAAAGCGUGGGGAGCGAACAGGAUUAGAUACCCUGGUAGUCCACGCCGUAAACGAUGGGCACUAGGUGUGGGAGGUGUCGACUCCUCCCGUGCCGGCGCUAACGCAUUAAGUGCCCCGCCUGGGGAGUACGGCCGCAAGGCUAAAACUCAAAGGAAUUGACGGGGGCCCGCACAAGCAGCGGAGCAUGUGGUUUAAUUCGAUGCAACGCGAAGAACCUUACCUGGGCUUGACAUGUAAGUGACAGCCGUGGAAACACGGUCUUCCUUCGGGACACUUUCACAGGUGGUGCAUGGCUGUCGUCAGCUCGUGUCGUGAGAUGUUGGGUUAAGUCCCGCAACGAGCGCAACCCCUGUUCCAUGUUGCCAGCAUUAAGUUGGGGACUCAUGGGAGACUGCCGGUGACAAACCGGAGGAAGGUGGGGAUGACGUCAAGUCAUCAUGCCCCUUAUGUCCAGGGCUACACACGUGCUACAUUGGCCGGUACAGAGGGUUGCGAUGCCGCGAGGUGGAGCGAAUCCCAAAAAGCCGGUCUCGGUUCGGAUUGGAGGCUGAAACUCGCCUCCAUGAAGGUGGAGUUGCUAGUAA
rnacentral:rRNA from 1 species